GGUCUCCACAAGGAGCUUUGCAGCUGAUGAUAUAUCUGUUAAUAGCAGGCAAUAGAAAUACCAACCUCUUCUGACCUUUGAAGCAUAUAAUGCUGCAUAACCAGCUAAACUGUCAUCCAGUAUCGCUUGUCACUUCUUCAGAAAUAGAGCCUGUCAGGAUGCAUACUUGUUUAUGUCCCUAACAACAUAAGCAUGGCCAGGACAGUCAGAAAAUGCAAAAUAAAUCACAGGUAAGAAGCUGAUAUUUUAUUACAAAAAGCAAUACCCUCCACCCAUACAAAAGUAACACAUAAAACUCUUAAAACUGUAUUUUGGGAUACUGCCUGCAAAGAAGAAAGUUAGUAUUCAGUCCUGAAACUGGUAA